UACGGAGGGGGCUAGCGUUGUUCGGAUUUACUGGGCGUAAAGCGCACGUAGGCGGAUCGUUAAGUCGGGGGUGAAAUCCUGGAGCUCAACUCCAGAACUGCCUUCGAUACUGGCGAUCUCGAGUCCGGAAGAGGUGAGUGGAACUCCUAGUGUAGAGGUGGAAUUCGUAGAUAUUAGGAAGAACACCAGUGGCGAAGGCGGCUCACUGGUCCGGUACUGACGCUGAGGUGCGAAAGCGUGGGGAGCAAACAGG
rnacentral:rRNA from 1 species